CCUACGGGAGUCAGCAGUGGGGAAUAUUGCACAAUGGUGGAAACCCUGAUGCAGCGACGCCGCGUGAGGGAAGAAGUCAUUCUUUAUGUAAAGCUCUAUAAGCAGGGAAGAAAAUGACGGUACCUGAGUAAUAAGUCACGGCCAACGACGUGCCAGCAGCCGCGGUAAUACGUAGGGGGCAAGCGUUAUACGGAUUUACUGGGUGUAAAGGGAGUGUAGACGGGAGGGCAAGUCUGGGGUGAAAGUCGGGGGCUCACCCCCCGGACUGCUCUGGAAACUGUAAGGCGGGAGUGCAGGAGAGGUAAGUGGAAUUCCUAGUGUAGCGGUGAAAUGCGUAGAUAUUACGAGGAACACCAAUUGCGAAGGCAGCUUGCUGGAAUGUAACUGACGUUGAGGCUCGAAAGCGUGGGGAGCAAACAGGAUUAGAUACCCUAGUAGUC
rnacentral:rRNA from 1 species